UACGUAGGGUGCAGGCGUUAAUCGGAAUUACUGGGCGUAAAGCGUGCGCAGGCGGCUUUGCAAGACAGAUGUGAAAUCCCCGGGCUUAACCUGGGAACUGCAUUUGUGACUGCAUGGCUAGAGUGCGGCAGAGGGGGAUGGAAUUCUGCGUGUAGCAGUGAAAUGCGUAGAUAUGCGGAGGAACACCGAUGGCGAAGGCAAUCCCCUGGGCCUGCACUGACGCUCAUGCACGAAAGCGUGGGGAGCAAACAGG
rnacentral:rRNA from 1 species